rnacentral:rRNA from 1 species
AUUGAACGCUGGCGGCAUGCCUUACACAUGCAAGUCGAACGGUAACGGGUCCUUCGGGAUGCCGACGAGUGGCGAACGGGUGAGUAAUAUAUCGUAACGUGCCCAGUAGUGGGGGAUAACUGCUCGAAAGAGCAGCUAAUACCGCAUACGACCUGAGGGUGAAAGGGGGGGAUCGCAAGACCUCUCGAUAUUGGAGCGGCCGAUAUCAGAUUAGCUAGUUGGUGGGGUAAAGGCCUACCAAGGCAACGAUCUGUAGUUGGUCUGAGAGGACGACCAGCCACACUGGGACUGAGACACGGCCCAGACUGCUACGGGAGGCAGCGGUGGGGAAUUUUGGACAAUGGGCGCAAGCCUGAUCCAGCAAUGCCGCGUGCAGGAAGAAGGCCUUCGGGUUGUAAACUGCUUUUGUCAGGGAAGAAAUCUUCUGGGCUAAUACCCCGGGAGGAUGACGGUACCUGAAGAAUAAGCACCGGCUAACUACGUGCCAGCCGCCGCAGUAA